CACUGAUCCCCGACCCACCCGUGGUCACACACGCAGGUCCCGUUCAUGCACUUCCCUGAAAAGCAGCUCUUAUCGCAGGACUUGGACACCGAGGAGGCUUCCGUGUGGAGCACGAGAUGAAGCAUCACAAAUACUCCCAGUUCCUCUACAUCUCUUUGUGACCUUUUUCCAGUCAUAUUGAGUUUCUUCCUGGUUGGUACAUGUUAAUUUGAGAGACAUUUUGUAAGCUGCUUAUCCGAGGUCAAACUGCUGGGGCAGCAGGCUGAGCAAAGUACUCCAGACGUCCCUCUCCUCAGCAACACUUCCCAGCUCCUCCUGAAGGAUUCUAAGGCGUUCCCAGGCCAGACAAGAUAUAUAAUACCUCCAGCGUGUUCUGGGUCUGCCCUGGGACCUCCCACUGGUUGGAUAUGCCUGUAACACCUCUUACAGGAGGCACCCAGGAGGAUCCUGAUCAGAUGUCCGAGCCACCUUAACUGGCCCCAUUCGAUGCAAAGGAGCAUCUACUCCAGACCGUCUCUGGAUGUCCAGGCUCCUUACCCUAUCUCUAAGGUUGAGCCCAGCCCCCCUCCAGAGGAAACUCAUUCCAGCCACUUGUGUUAGGGUUUCAGCUUUGCAUCUCCCUUGUGUUUCCUGUUUCCCCUUCCUAGUGUCUUUUUUCAGUCUGUCUCUGUGUGUUUGUUGGGUGUGGCCUUCUGGUUCCCUCCUCCUGCCAAUCAUCCUGAGUGCCAGCAGCUGCUGAACCUGUCCACCUGAACCUCAUCUACAAUCAAGCCACUGCAGUAUAAACCCUGGCUUUGACAUCAGAUCAUUCAGUCUCCUCUGCAGUACAGACAUCAAGGCCACCUUCUAGUUUUGUCUUUGCCUUUCUGUACCUUUGGACAUUAAUUCACACUCUGUUCUGUGUCUCAAACAAUGCCCCGCCACGUCCAGCCUCGUUCUUGUCUUCUGCCUCUGGAUAUAGACUGAUCUCCUUCACCAUUCUCUGCCCAUCUCAGCCAUCAUUUCAUUCAAGUCUUCAGCUCCACUUCUUCAAACUACAAUAAACUGCAUUUAACCAUUCCCUGUUUC